AUCCGAGUGAUGGAAUGGUAGACAUAACAAACUUAAAAUUUGUGAGCUAGCGCUGUGAAGGUUCGAGUCCUUCUUCGGAUA
rnacentral:tRNA from 2 species